AACUGUCAUUGGUAUCUAGCGGUUGUCAACGCCAAAAUAUGUGAGAUACAAGUACUUGAUUCCUUUGGUCCUGAUGUACUACCCAGUGAUGACCUCACUCUGAUAUUGCAGGGACUUACAAAGCAUCUUGAUAUUGCUUCAAAAAGCACAGAUUUUUAUCAUGGGCAGCAAGUGGCACAACCUGGAUGUUGCAUCAUGACCAAUCAAAGAAUAUUCGUACGAGCGAGUGCAGGAAGAUGGAAGGGCACAAUGAUGAAUUCAACGCAAGAUCUUGCUGGUAGGAGACUACAACGACAACUUGGGAUGCGUCACGUGAUGUGCACAUGCUUCAAAGGAAAGAGAUGAUGCACAUUACUCCUUUCUGCAAGGUGCCUAUGAAGAGGAUUGGCAAAUAAAAUAGUAAUCCGAACUUGUAAAAUACUCUUUUACAAAGAUCUAGUCUUAAUAAGACUCUAGGUGCAAGACCAUUUGCUAUUUCUUCAAAUGCUCUUAUAUAAGCUGCAACAAGGAAUUCUAGAAUGUUUAAAGCAAUGGAUCCAAAGAACUAGUUGGACUGGAAUCUACAUCAUGGACAUUUUAGUAUUCGCACUUAAUAUGAUGGCUAAAUUACAUUUGAGUUUAUUUGAAAGAUAUUUGCUAUGAUAAUUAUGAAUUUUAUGAAUCUACAUAUUAUACAUAUGGUUUUGAAUAUUGUAAUUGAAUGCGUGUAUUUUUUUAUGGAUGCAAUAGGCUAUUACCACAACCCAGUUUUGGUUGCCACAUAUUAGCAUAUUUUGUUGCACUAGGAUGUUGCAACGGAGCACUUUAUAUUGUCGCAA